rnacentral:rRNA from 1 species
AUUGAACGCUGGCGGCAGGCCUAACACAUGCAAGUCGAGCGGAUGAAGAGAGCUUGCUCUCUGAUUUAGCGGCGGACGGGUGAGUAAUGCCUAGGAAUCUGCCUGGUAGUGGGGGAUAACGUUCCGAAAGGAACGCUGAUACCGCAUACGUCCUACGGGAGAAAGCAGGGGACCUUCGGGCCUUGCGCUAUCAGAUGAGCCUAGGUCGGAUUAGCUAGUUGGUGAGGUAAUGGCUCACCAAGGCGACGAUCCGUAACUGGUCUGAGAGGAUGAUCAGUCACACUGGAACGGAGACACGGUCCAGACUCCUACGGGAGGCAGCAGUGGGGAAUAUUGGACAAUGGGCGAAAGCCUGAUCCAGCCAUGCCGCGUGUGUGAAGAAGGUCUUCGGAUUGUAAAGCACUUUAAGUUGGGAGGAAGGGCAGUAAGUUAAUACCUUGCUGUUUUGACGUUACCGACAGAAUAAGCACCGGCUAACUUCGUGCCAGCCGCCGCAGUAACAC